UACGUAGGGGGCUAGCGUUGUCCGGAAUUACUGGGUGUAAAGGGCGUGUAGGCGGGAUAUUAAGUCAGAUGUGAAAGUCCUAGGCUCAACUUAGGGAGUGCAUCUGAAACUAAUGUUCUUGAGUGGAGGAGAGGAAAGUGGAAUUCCUAGUGUAGCGGUGAAAUGCGUAGAUAUUAGGAGGAACACCAGUGGCGAAGGCGACUUUCUGGACUUUAACUGACGCUGAGGCGCGAAAGCGUGGGGAGCAAACAGG
rnacentral:rRNA from 1 species